GUGUUUACUAGUCUUGGUCGUGGUAUGUAGCGUGGUAUGGAAUGUGUUUACUAGUCUUGGUCGUGGUAUGUAGCGUGGUAUGGAAUGUGUUUACUAGUCUUGGUCGUGGUAUGUAGCGUGGUAUGGUAUGUGUUUACUAGUCUUGGUCGUGGUAUGUAAUGUGUUUACUAGUCUUGGUCAUGGUAUGUAGCGUGGUAUGUAGUGUGGUAUGGUAUGUGUUUACUAGUCUUGGUCGUGGUAUGUAGCGUGGUAUGGUAUGUGUUUACUAGUCUUGGUCGUGGUAUGUAGCGUGGUAUGGUAUGUGUUUACUAGUCUUGGUCGUGGUAUGUAGCGUGGUAUGGUAUGUGUUUACUAGUCUUGGUCGUGGUAUGUAGUGUGUUUACUAGUCUUGGUCGUGGUAUGUAGCGUGGUAUGGUGUGUGUUUACUAGUCUUGGUCGUGGUAUGUAGCGUGGUAUGGUGUGUGUUUACUAGUCUUGGUCGUGGUAUGUAGCGUGGUAUGGUGUGUGUUUACUAGUCUUGGUCGUGGUAUGUAGCGUGGUAUGGUGUGUGUUUACUAGUCUUGGUCGUGGACAGGACUGUUGGUUUCCUCUGUUUACUGGCCACAGCAGG
ensembl:lncRNA